GUCCGUUCACAUUCUUCAGUCUCCUCUUCAAAGUUUAGAUUCUAUUCCGUUCUGUCGGCCUCCUCUAUUUUCAUCUUCAGCGUUCAGAUUCGUCACUGGAGGAUUAGCACUUCAUUUGGUUGAUUGGAUUCUUUGCAAUUCAUUGUGGGAGAUGGAAAAUGAGGGUUGGAUUAUAAUAAUUUGAGAUACAGCAGCUCCUUUGAUAGAGUUAGCUAGAGGUCUAGUGGCAACCCAAACACAAGUUGUAGAACUAUUCAAGUAAGAAUGGAAGGCCCAGAAAAUCGGAGAUGGAUGUAUAAUAGAAUAGAUCCGUGUACUAAAUGGGUUACAAUAAAAUUUGAUCAAGGUGUAGAGGAGUUUCUUACUUAUGCAAUGCAAUCACCUUAUUGCCAAAAAUCCGUGUACUAAAUGGGUCACAAGAAGAAGAGGAACUUCAAGAUGAUGAAGAAACAGAAGAUGGUGAGAAAGAUGCUUAUAUGGAUGAAGAUGAAGAUGAUGUAUAAAUUAUGGUUGUGACAUUGCAUUUGUUAUUUAGUUUUCAGUUUGAUUGAUUGCAUUAACUUCUUAUUUAUUUUUCAUUUAGAUUAGAUUAUAAUUUUGUUAAUUUCUAAAGAAGAUUUAGUUCUUAUUGAUUUAGUUUUUAUUCAUUUAUUUAA